rnacentral:misc_RNA from 1 species
GAUGAAGAACGUAGCGAAAUGCGAUAAGUAAUGUGAAUUGCAGAAUUCGGUGAAUCAUCGAAUCUUUGAACGCACAUUGCGCCCGCCAGUAUUCUGGCGGGCAUGCCUGUCCGAGCGUCAUUUCAACCCUCGAACCCCUCCGGGGGGUCGGCGUUGGGGAUCGGCCCUUUACGGGGCCGGCCCCGAAAUACAGUGGCGGUCUCGCCGCAGCCUCUCCUGCGCAGUAGUUUGCACACUCGCAUCGGGAGCGCGGCGCGUCCACAGCCGUUAAACACCCCAAACUUCUGAAAUGUUGACCUCGGAUCAGGUAGGAAUACCCGCUGAACUUAAGCAUAUCAAUAAGCGGAGGA